rnacentral:rRNA from 1 species
GACGAACGCUGGCGGCGUGCUUAACACAUGCAAGUCGAGCGGUAAGGCCCUUUCGGGGGUACACGAGCGGCGAACGGGUGAGUAACACGUGGGUGACCUGCCCUCAGCUCUGGGAUAAGCCUGGGAAACCGGGUCUAAUACUGGAUAUGACUCCACGGUGCAUGUCGUGGGGUGGAAAGCCUUGUGCGGCUGAGGAUGGGCCCGCGGCCUAUCAGCUUGUUGGUGGGGUGAUGGCCUACCAAGGCGACGACGGGUAGCCGGCCUGAGAGGGCGACCGGCCACACUGGGACUGAGACACGGCCCAGACUCCUACGGGAGGCAGCAGUGGGGAAUCUUGCGCAAUGGGCGAAAGCCUGACGCAGCAACGCCGCGUGGAGGAUGAAGGCCCUUGGGUUGUAAACUCCUGUCGGUUGGGAAG